UACAGAGGGUGCAAGCGUUGUUCGGAAUUAUUGGGCGUAAAGGGCGCGUAGGCGGUGCCACAAGUCACCUGUGAAAUCCCCGGGCUUAACCUGGGAACUGCGCUUCUAACUGGCAGGCUGGAGUGUGGCAGAGGGGGGUGGAAUUCCACGUGUAGCAGUGAAAUGCGUAGAGAUGUGGAGGAACACCGAUGGCGAAGGCAGCCCCCUGGGCUAACACUGACGCUCAUGCACGAAAGCGUGGGGAGCAAACAGG
rnacentral:rRNA from 1 species